CACGUAGGGCGCGAGCGUUGUCCGGAAUUAUUGGGCGUAAAGAGCUCGUAGGCGGCCUGUUGCGUCCGCUGUGAAAGCCCGGGGCUUAACCCCGGGUCGGCAGUGGAUACGGGCAGGCUAGAGGUAGGUAGGGGAGAAUGGAAUUCCCGGUGUAGCGGUGAAAUGCGUAGAGAUCGGGAGGAACAUCAGUGGCGAAGGCGGCCAUCUGGGACAACACUGACGCUGAGGCACGAAAGCGUGGGGAGCAAACAGG
rnacentral:rRNA from 1 species